CUGGCCAGCUGUGUAAAGUUUGAGCACUAUGCCUGGAGGACUCGCAACGCAGCUGGUUAACUCUGUUGUGUGUCUGAUGUUGGGAGAUGCAGAAACAAGCCUUGCGCAAGCAUCUGCUUGGCUGAACCCCAAGUGCCACCUUGUGCUGGGGCUCUCCAGGCAUCUGAGAGCCGCUGCAGGGCAGACAUGCCCCAGCCCCUCCGCCAGCAGCGAAGAGGCAGCUCAGGCCUCUCUCCGUGUCUAAAGCUCCAAAACAGGGACACAGAGAGGCUUGGGGACUGUGCAUCGUGGGUCCAUCGGUUCGGCUUCCUCCCAGACAGAACCAGAUGCAUUCGCUGCAACCCACCUGCCCAGUGCCAGAUGGACCCCGUGGUCUAUUUGUGAAGAACCCAGGGCGUCAUCAAAAGUUUCUCCUUCCAGUGGCCAUGUUUGCCAGCAUGCAUUGGUCCACCUUGACCGACUGUCUUUUCUUCUGAACGUGCCCUUGACCCUGGCUAAGGUAUCUGGCCAGAAUUUUCUGCCCCCACUCCUACCCCUGCUGGUGGGCAGUGGUGGCCGGCUGCCCAGACCGGGUUUAAAAUAUCUGUCUGAAAUUUUGGUAAAUGGCUCAUUUAAAGAAUUGACUUUCAGAAAACUGGUCAAUUAAGGUCAUUUUGUUAAUUGACUUUUAGAGAAUCGAUUUCCCAUAUCCUGAUCCAGACUCUUUCCCGGGAUGCCCUGAGGUGCCCUAGUGGGUUUGUGGGGAGGCCAGAGAG